rnacentral:rRNA from 1 species
GACGAACGCUGGCGGCGUGCUUAACACAUGCAAGUCGAACGGUGAAGCACCUUCCUUUUGGUCGGUGUGGAUGAGUGGCGCACGGGUGAGUAACACGCGAGUAACCUUCCCCCUUCUUCUGGAUAACCGCAUGAAAGCGUGCCUAAUACGCGAUAUUCUGGUACUGUCGCAUGCCGGGCCUGGUAACGCUUUUGUUGCUGUAGGGAGUGGGCUGGCGGUCUAGCAGCUUGUUGGGGGGGUGAUGGCCUACCAAGGCGGUGAGAGGUAGCCGGCCGGAGAGGGUGGGCCGUCACGCUGGGACGGAGCGACGGCCACGACUCCGACGGGAGGCAGCAGGGGGUAAUGUUGCACAGUGGGAGGCAGGAUGAUGCAGCGACGCCUGGGGGGGGAUGGAGGCCUGCUGGUUGUAAACCUCUUUCGGCAGUGAAGCAGGGCUGUCCCUUUUGUGGGUGGGUUGACGGUAGCUGGAGAAGAAGCGCCGGCUAACUACGUG